rnacentral:rRNA from 1 species
CCCGCUGAACUUAAGCAUAUCAAUAAGCGGAGGAAAAGAAACUAACAAGGAUUCCCCUAGUAACUGCGAGUGAAGCGGGAAAAGCUCAAAUUUUGAAUCUGGCGGUCUCUGGCCGUCCGAGUUGUAAUUUAGAGAAGCGUCUUCCGCGCUGGACCGUGCACAAGUCUCCUGGAACGGAGCGUCGUAGAGGGUGAGAAUCCCGUCUUUGGCACGGACACACCAGGGCUUUUGCGAUGCGCUCUCGAAGAGUCGAGUUGUUUGGGAAUGCAGCUCAAAAUGGGUGGUGAACUCCAUCUAAAGCUAAAUAUUGGCGAGAGACCGAUAGCGAACAAGUACCGUGAGGGAAAGAUGAAAAGCACUUUGGAAAGAGAGUGAAACAGUACGUGAAAUUGUUGAAAGGGAAACGCUUGAAGUCAGUCGCGUCGUCCGAGACUCAGCCUCGCCUCGGCUUGGCGUACUUCUCGGCCCGACGGGUCAGCAUCGAUUUCGCCUCUCGGAUAAUGGCGAGGGAAAAGUGACACCUUUACGGUGUGUUAUAGUCUCUCGUCGCAUGCGAGGGUCGGGAUUGAGGAACUCAGCACGCGCCCUCGGGCGUCGGGGCUUUUGCCCACGAUACGUGCUUAGGAUGUUGGCGUAAUGGCUUUAAACGACCCGUCUUGAAACACGG